CUGAAGCAAGCACACACCCAACACAGCACACAGCCAAGGGUCCAAUUAUACAAGUCAUAACUCAUUAACUGUUUUUGGUUUUCUUUUCAGGAGAACGGCGAAAAAACGAACUUGAUGCAGCACAAAUGAUAACGAAAUAAUCUACUAGAGAGAGAUGGUCAUCGACUUUGGUAACCUUUCGUUGUUUUGUUUG